AAACGCAGUGUACGCACGGGAAUAGCGCAGAAGGAUGCGGAGCUAGCCAGGGUUGCUUAUUUUUGGUUUUGUGUUCGGUGCUUCUGGAACCCCAUACGCUGGAUGAGUGUAAACGCGUCCACCGGUGCUUCCCAAAGCGCAGUAUACAUACGAGAAUAGCGCAGAAGUAUGCGGAGCUAGGCAGGGGUGCUUAUUUUUGGUUUUGUGUUCGGUGCUUCUGGAACCCCAUACGCUGGAUGAGUGUAAACGCGUCCACCGGUGCUUCUCUAAACGCAGUGUACGCACGGGAAUAGCGCAGAAGGAUGCGGAGCUAGCCAGGGGUGCUUAUUUUUGGUUUUGAGUGCGGUGCUUCUGGAACCCCAUACGCUGGAUGAGUGUAAACGCGUCCACCGGUGCUUCCCAAAGCGCAGUGUACGCACGGGAAUAGCGCAGAAGUAUGCGGAGCUAGCCAGGGGUGCUUAUUUGGGGUUUGUGUUCGGUGCUUCUGGAACCUCAUACGCUGAAUGAGUGUAAACGCGUCCACAGGUGCUUUCGUUAGAGCGCAGCGCGGCGACGGAAAAACUACAGAGGUUCGUACGGUUAGGCAGUAGUCUUCAUCGGGUACAGCUCGAGGUACGUUCACGCUUUGCUGUGCCGUUGUACUGUUCAGUCCAUAUAAAUCAAGGUUGCUGGCUCUUCGUGGCGAGUGCGCGUGCUUCGAGGUCUUGAUUUGUCGACGCCAGGUACUAUCCUGCGCGCUGUAGAGCGUGUUGCUUUUUUCUGAUAUCGCAGCGGAACGGAGUAACUGGCCCCGUCGAAUAGUUCGCGUUUACCGAAAGGUGUCAUGGUGAAGAAAGCGGCUCCAGUCCGCGGAACGAACGCCAAAGCUUAUCGCUGGAAUCUAAGGUGAGACGGACGCUAGCAUGACGAAUGCUGCCCGUCCAAAGCGUUAUGUUCAGAGCAGUGAAUGCUGGUCCGUGGAUACCGGUACACCCUAUAUGACGUUAUUGUUUUUUCCUCGACGGUAUGCUACGCAACUAAUGGAUCCUGUGAAUUGGGGAAAGGCCAGAAAAAACUCUAUGCUGUCACUGCUGCUGAUGCUAAAAAUUGUCUUGCGGAUGCAAGUUAGUCAUUCUACGGUCAGCAGGUGGUGGAUGAAGCGCCCGUCUCGAACUCCCUGGGUUGAAUGUCGGGCAUCGCAAACAGAACGCACCAAACUGUAUACGCGUGACUGUCCUGUCGUAAAUCAAUUUCACUCC